AGUGAACGCUGGCGGUAGGCCUAACACAUGCAAGUCGAACGGCAGCACAGUAAGAGCUUGCUCUUACGGGUGGCGAGUGGCGGACGGGUGAGGAAUACAUCGGAAUCUACUUUUUCGUGGGGGAUAACGUAGGGAAACUUACGCUAAUACCGCAUACGACCUACGGGUGAAAGCAGGGGAUCUUCGGACCUUGCGCGAUUGAAUGAGCCGAUGCCGGAUUAGCUAGUUGGCGGGGUAAAGGCCCACCAAGGCGACGAUCCGUAGCUGGUCUGAGAGGAUGAGCAGCCACACUGGAACUGAGACACGGUCCAGACUCCUACGGGAGGCAGCAGUGGGGAAUAUUGGACAAUGGGCGCAAGCCUGAUCCAGCCAUACCGCGUGGGUGAAGAAGGCCUUCGGGUUGUAAAGCCCUUUUGUUGGGAAAGAAAAGCAGCAGGUUAAUACCCCGCUGUUCUGACGGUACCCAAAGAAUAAGCACCGGCUAACUUCGUG
rnacentral:rRNA from 1 species